UAGCCUAGUGGUUAAGGCUGUGGAUCGCCAAUCCGGACACGGUGGGUUCGAUUCCCGC
rfam:Aedes albopictus isolate Foshan contig109593, whole genome shotgun sequence.